rnacentral:rRNA from 1 species
AGAAUCAACGCUGGCGGCGUGCCUAACACAUGCAAGUCGCACGAGAAAGUGGAGCAAUCCAUGAGUACAGUGGCGCACGGGUGAGUAACACGUGAAUUAUCUACCUCCGAGUGGGGAAUAACUGAGAGAAAUCUUAGCUAAUACCGCAUAACACUUACGAGUCAAAGCAGCAAUGCGCUUGGAGAGGAGUUCGCGGCCGAUUAGCUAGUUGGCGGGGUAAUGGCCCACCAAGGCAAUGAUCGGUA